UCAAGGGAAUUGAGGGGUCCUACUCCUUCGCCCUCAGGUGGUCAUGCAGACUUUACUAAUCGGACUGCCUCUCAAGAUGGAAGAGCUGCAUCUUCACAGAUAUCAAUAGCCAACCCUCAUUAAGACCCUCCCAGCUACUUGGGUAUCAUAAUCAAAAACCCAAAAUCAGCUUGUGAUACUUAAUUGUAAACAGUUUUUAGUUGGGAAGAUAUGGCCAUGGUGAUGUGGUUGUUGAAAAGGUUAGUGCCACAGGAUGAUGUGUACUGAAGUAUAAUGAGAUACAUGCAAACUUGAGAGACACAAGACCAAAAGCACUCUUUCUUGGUAUUUUGAAAGUAUGGGGAUUACUUGGCUAUGUGUUAUUUGGGGUAUUUAAAGAGCUAUUGAAGUACAAGGAUCUCAGCGCAGUUUUACCGUUAGAUGAGGAAGAUAAGUUUGUGCUAUUCUCUAAAGUAACACAUAAAAGUCUAAAAAUUGAGCCAUAUCUUGCUGGGUGAGCAGAAAACUUUUGGAACACCUUGAGAACCUCUACAAUAAUUUUUUCACUGGCAGAGACUGUGUAGAGAGAGCCUUUAGCGAAGGUUAAUUUCAAGAUGUUCUUUAAUGAAUUUUUCAAGUGAUUACUUGCUGGUAAACGUACAAAUGAAAAUUGUCUAUUCAAGUAUCAUUUCAGCUACCAUCAAUGAAAUAACAAGUCAGAGUGGUGUCUAAAUCAAACAUCCAUGUAUAUUUUACAGCCAUGUGGCCUAUUUCCAAACUCUGAUGAAGAAAUUAGAAUACUCCAAGUAAAUGACAUUAAAAAAAGGUGGAAUUUUUAAAUUUUUUUAAUACUGAAAACAAAGAGAUUGGACAUAAUAAUUCACUCCUUUCAAAAAUGCAUACAAUACUUUAUAGAUGUUGUCAAUCUCAAUUUUGUUGCUAUGUAGGCCUUCAAAUUGCAUUAUAAAAUGCAGUGCACCAUUUCAGAGAUGACUCAGUGCACGUGAAUUUUUGAAUGAAUUGGGACAUGAUCAAAGUAUAG
rnacentral:lncRNA from 1 species